CCAUCAGAUGUGCCCAGAUGGGAUUAGCUAGUAGGUGGGGUAACGGCUCACCUAGGCGACGAUCCCUAGCUGGUCUGAGAGGAUGACCAGCCACACUGGAACUGAGACACGGUCCAGACUCCUACGGGAGGCAGCAGUGGGGAAUAUUGCACAAUGGGCGCAAGCCUGAUGCAGCCAUGCCGCGUGUAUGAAGAAGGCCUUCGGGUUGUAAAGUACUUUCAGCGGGGAGGAAGGUGUUGUGGUUAAUAACCGCAGCAAUUGACGUUACCCGCAGAAGAAGCACCGGCUAACUCCGUGCCAGCAGCCGCGGUAAUACGGAGGGUGCAAGCGUUAAUCGGAAUUACUGGGCGUAAAGCGCACGCAGGCGGUCUGUCAAGUCGGAUGUGAAAUCCCCGGGCUCAACCUGGGAACUGCAUUCGAAACUGGCAGGCUAGAGUCUUGUAGAGGGGGGUAGAAUUCCAGGUGUAGCGGUGAAAUGCGUAGAGAUCUGGAGGAAUACCGGUGGCGAAGGCGGCCCCCUGGACAAAGACUGACGCUCA
rnacentral:rRNA from 1 species